CGCCGGCGAUGGUUCAUUCAAAUUUCUGCCCUAUCAACUUUCGAUGGUAGGAUAGUGGCCUACCAUGGUGGCGACGGGUAACGGGGAAUUAGGGUUCGAUUCCGGAGAGGGAGCCUGAGAAACGGCUACCACAUCCAAGGAAGGCAGCAGGCGCGCAAAUUACCCAAUCCCGAUACGGGGAGGCAGUGACAAUAAAUACUGGUACGGGGCUCUUUUGGGUCUCGUAAUUGGAAUGAGAACAAUUUAAAUCCCUUAACGAGGAACAAUUGGAGGGCAAGUCUGGUGCCAGCAGCCGCGGUAAUUCCAGCUCCAAUAGCGUAUAUUAAAGUUGUUGCAGUUAAAAAGCUCGUAGUUGGACCUU
rnacentral:rRNA from 1 species